rfam:Oryza punctata chromosome 1, whole genome shotgun sequence.
GGGCCAAGAUGUAGCCAAGGACAACUUGCCAAUGGAUGGAUGGAUGAAUGGCCAGCGAUCAAAAUGAUGAUCAGAUCGAACACAAUUCACAACCCAAGCUUAGCUAGCUGCAUCCGUAGAUCGAUCGAUCGAUCGAUCGGCAAGUCAUCCUUGGCUGCACCAUGGCCUCC